AAAUGUCUUCAGGGCAGGGUGUGAUUCCCGACCGGCGGUGAUAGUCCGCUACUCCGAAAGGAUCGAACCGGUGAAAUUCCGGUACCGACAGUAAAGUCUGGAUGGAAGAAGAUACAA
rnacentral:ncRNA from 2 species